AGAUGACUGACAUUUUGUCAGGGGCCCAAGCAAGGACCUGUGUGCAGCUGAACUUUCAAGCCAGGGCCGCAGACCGCGGGCUGGGGGGAGUUUUGUGAUUCAGGUGCGCCUUCGGCCGCUUGCAAGUCAUCCCACCCGUGAGUAAGGCCUGUCUAGACGUAGAUAACCAAAAGAAACCGCCCUGACAAUCUCUUCUACGGAAAUUUUUCUAUCAGGAAAACAGUUUUAUAAGGGAAACUAAAGAAUAUAAACAUGCAGAGGGAAAAUUAAGAAGUUGAGCAUGGCCUUCGGGAUGAGUGGAACUCAGAGAAUCCCGGCUGUCCGUUAAUCUCCUGCUAAAAGCACUUGUCGCUGCUGCUCCCACCGAUUCAAACCGGUCUGCAUUUCACUUCCUCUCCCUGACUUUGUUCCGCAAGAAAUCACAACAUUCUGAGAAACGCUUCCACAAAUGUGAGCCCGGAGAUUAGCCAAGAGGUCGGCUACUUUGAUCUCUGAAGAGAUAAGCAGGAUCAUAAGAAUCGGGGCUCUUGGGAAAACCAGCACUGAGGAGAGCCGCCACCCCGUUUUCCUCACGGCCCUCCUGCCUUUGCUCUCAGCUGACUGGAUGUGUGCAGCCGGGUUCCUCCGCUAGCCUUCCCACUUCUUUGUUCAAGCCGCAGGUCACCGUCGCCUUGCCCACCGGGGCGCGGAGCAUUUCGGGGUGCCGUCUGUAUGGGCGACUCUGACCCUCUUCUGAAAAGCUCUUAUUCAAGAUCCAGUUCAAACACCCCCGGGGAAGCCUUCCCUGAUUGCUUCACUCAGGGUUAGGCACUUCUCUCUCCAGAUUCUCACUGUACUUCAUUAUUAUUAUUAUUAUUAUUUUUUUUAAUAGGGUUUUGCCUUUUCUUUUUUUUUUUUAAGAUUUUAUUUAUUUAUUUGAGAGAGAGACUGAGAUAGAGAGAGCAUGAGAGGGGGGAGGGUCAGAGGGAGAAGCAGACUCCCUGCCGAGCAGGGAGCCCAAUGCGGGACUCGAUCCUGUGACUCCAGGAUCAUGACCUGAGCCGAAGGCAGUCGCUUAACCAACUGAGCCACCCAGGCGCCCCAUUAUUAUUUUUUAAAUGUAGGUAUUAUAUCCACACAGUAAAAUACAUAAAUCUCCCCAGUGCAGGGCUCCAUUCCAGGACCCCGGGAUCAUGACCUGAGCCGAAGGCAGACAGACGAUUAACCGACUGAGCCACCCAGGCGCCCCAUCACUAGGUUUUAUAAUUAAGAUUUGUGGGGGCGCCUGGCUGGUUCAGUCAGUGGAGCGUGCGACUCUGGAUCUCAGGGUUGUAAGUUUGAAGUCCACACUGGGUGUAGAGAUUACUUAAAAAUUAAAAAAAAACUUUAAAAAAUAAUUAAGAUUUAUGUAUUCUUAAUUUUUGGUAUUCCAGUGGUUUAGUAGUAUCUCAUUGUGGUUUUUGUUUUCAUUUUCUUGAUGAGUAAGCACUUUACCCGGCCGUUUGGAGAACCUUUUUUUUGAAAAGUGCCUGCUCAAGUCGUUUGCCCAGUUUUUAUUGGUUCUUUGUCUUUUCCUUACUGGUUGGUGGGAGUUCUUUAUAAUUCCAGACAUGAGCCCUUUGUCAGAUAUAUGUAUUAUGAAUGUUUUCUCCUGCCGUGGUUUGCUUUUCCACGUUCUUAGUGACGAUGUGUUUUGAUGAAGAGAAGUUCUUGAUUUUAGUUAAGUUCCAUUUACCGAUCUUUUCCUUUUAUGGUCACUUUUUUUU